GACGAACGCUGGCGGCGUGCUUAACACAUGCAAGUCGAACGGUGAAGCGCCUUCCUUUUUGGUGGGUGUGGAUGAGUGGCGAACGGGUGAGUAACACGUGAGUAACCUGCCCCCCUCUUCUGGAUAACCGCAUGAAAGUGUGGCUAAUACGGGAUAUUCUGGGUCUGUCGCAUGAUGGGUCUGGGAAAGGUAUUGUUUCGGUGGGGGAUGGGCUCGCGGCCUAUCAGCUUGUUGGGGGGGUGAUGGCCUACCAAGGCGGUGGCGGGUAGCCGGCCUGAGAGGGUGGACGGUCACACUGGGACUGAGACACGGCCCAGACUCCUACGGGAGGCAGCAGUGGGGAAUAGUGCACAAUGGGGGCAAGCCUGAUGCAGCGACGCCGCGUGAGGGGUGGAGGCCUUCGGGUUGUGAACCUCUUUCGCCAGUGAAGCAGGCCUGCCUCGUUUGUGGGUGGGUUGACGGUAGCUGGAUAAGAAGCGCCGGCUAACUACGUG
rnacentral:rRNA from 1 species